CAAAACUAAAAUUUCAUUUCCCCCUCUCCUCAAAUUCACGCCCAACCCUCGCUUCAAAUCCACCCCCAAAAUUUACAACUCCUUCGGUUCAAAAUCCUCCACCAAUAAUCGUAGUUUCCUUUCCCUCGAUUGGGAGAUCCUCUUUAGAUCAUAAUUUCGUUGGAGAGGAAACUUUUCGGAGAGUAGAAUUCUCAGUAUUAGCGGCUUUCGUUGGCUUUCAGGUUCAAUUUUUGAGGUUCUUUAACAAAUUUCUUUGGAGUCCACUUGCAUCUGCAGCUCUGAUGGCAACUAUUAGGAAAAAUAUUGGUAGCUUCAACUUCUUAUUGAAAAUUUAUUUCACCAUUUUGUUCCAUAAUCUUGUGUGCCGGCAACUUGCACAUCUCUACACAUUGAAGUUAUUGUUGUGAGUUUCAGUGUCUGGGUUGGAUUAUGCAUAUGUUGUUGUCAAAUAGCCAUGAGAGUGUACCCUACAAUGUUGAGCACAACUGGAGAAAGAUUAAUUCCCUUGAUUCUUGUUUUCCCCUGUAUCUGUUCUGACCUCCGGGUUAUAUAGCUGUUGAUCAUCAUUAUAUUUCACAGGUAAAUAUUCGUCUAUUUUGUUGUUACUUUAGGGUAAUUAAUUUCUUUUCUAUUUCCUUAGCAUUCAAAGAAUUCAUAUCUGUAUAAUAGGGUUGUUGGUAGAUAUAUAAUUAUAUUUACCCUUUUCUUAUUUCUUCUACCUCUAUUUCAUCAAUACCUUAACAUGCAAGAUCUUGACAUUCAUCAUUAGGUAUUUACAACUUUACAACUAUCUAGAUGCUUCUACUGAGACUCUGUUUUGUAUUUUUUUUCAAUUGAAAUGCAAAUUUAAUUUAGAGCUUAUUUUUAAUUCCUACCCUCCUUAGCCCACUUCAAUUGAUUUUUAGAGAGCCCAAUAUAAAAGUAGAAGUCGUCGUCUUCUUCUUCUUCAUUUUAUUUGAUACUCUAAAUCUAAAACGAGGAGAGAAACUCUUCCUUCUCUCUUGGGAUCCGGUUUCACCCGCCGUCGCCGCCACGGAUCCACCACCGUCGACUCCUCCCUCCAUCAGCUUCUCCUUCCCUCUUCCUCUCUGUCGGUUCUCCCUCUCUCUUUCUUCUAAUUUUCCCCAAUUUCAGAAAUAGCUUCGUCACCCCUUCUCUCCUAUCGGUCCCUCUCUCCACCGCCGCCCUCUGCCUCGCUGCAAGGGAUGGUUGCUCCACCUCUUCACACUUAUCGUCGUCCCCUCCUUGCGCCGCUGCUGCCAACCACCGCCGUCACCUCCCCACAACAUCCCAUCUUGCAAGGCAACCCUUCACGCCGCUGUUUGACGGCUCCGGCGAGAUUCGGACAGAUUGUGAAGCUGUAUUGGCGGGAGUGAUUCGGCCCCUCGAGUCCGCACAUCAGCUUCCCCCACCAAAACGCACUGUCAUAGACAUAGGAACUAUUUGACAAAGGUCAUGGGUGUGAUCCGAAGAUGUGUCGGCAGCAACCCAUUUGGGACUUGACCGUGUCUCUUAAUUUCAUUUGUAAAAAUUUACAUUUAUCUGUUUAUAUAUUUGGACUUUUAUUGGACUCUUAAUUAUGUAUUUGGACAUUACAAAUUCACUUUUUAUAAGUAGAAACUCAGGUCAUUACAAGAAA